UUGCCUUGUAACUUUUUGUCUUGCUCUCAUUCUGUACUAAACACCUUUUAAUGAAAUGAUAUUCUCUUUCAAUUUCUAAGUCAUCCGAUUUGAUUCGUAUGCAUGCUUUUCUCCUUUGCUUAUUUACGUAUCUUUCUGCGAGAUUAACUAUGUAGUCAGUAAGAAAGUAAAGUAGUCAGUAAGAAGCAGCAAAUCGAGU
rnacentral:lncRNA from 1 species